rnacentral:rRNA from 1 species
CUUGCCUACGGGGGGCAGCAGUAGGGAAUAUUGCUCAAUGGGGGAAACCCUGAAGCAGCAACGCCGCGUGGAGGAUGAAGGUUUUCGGAUUGUAAACUCCUUUUGUUAGAGAAGAUAAUGACGGUAUCUAACGAAUAAGCACCGGCUAACUCCGUGCCAGCAGCCGCGGUAAUACGGAGGGUGCAAGCGUUACUCGGAAUCACUGGGCGUAAAGAGUGCGCAGGCGGGCUUGUAAGUCAGAUGUGAAAUCCUGUAGCUUAUCUACAGAAAUGCAUUUGAAACU